rnacentral:rRNA from 1 species
AACGAACGCUGGCGGCAUGCCUAACACAUGCAAGUCGAACGAGACCUUCGGGUCUAGUGGCGCACGGGUGCGUAACGCGUGGGAACCUGCCCUUAGGUUCGGAAUAACUCCCCGAAAGGGGUGCUAAUACCGGAUAAUGUCUUCGGACCAAAGAUGUAUCGCCUUUGGAUGGGCCCGCGUUGGAUUAGCUGGUUGGUAGGGUAAAAGCCUACCAAGGCGACGAUGCAUAGCUGGUCGGAGAGGAUGAUCAGCCACACUGGGACUGAGACACGGCCCAGACUCCUACGGGAGGCAGCAGUGGGGAAUAUUGGACAAUGGGGGAAAGCCUGAUCCAGCAAUGCCGCGUGAGUGAUGAAGGCCUUAGGGUUGUAAAGCUCUUUUACCCGGGAUGAUAAUGACAGUACCGGGAGAAUAAGCUCCGGCUAACUCCGUG